ACGGGAGGCAGCAGUGGGGAAUAUUGCACAAUGGGGGAAACCCUGAUGCAGCGACGCCGCGUGAGUGAAGAAGUAUUUCGGUAUGUAAAGCUCUAUCAGCAGGGAAGAAAAUGACGGUACCUGACUAAGGAGCACCGGCUAAAUACGUGCCAGCAGCCGCGGUAAUACGUAUGGUGCAAGCGUUAUCCGGAUUUACUGGGUGUAAAGGGAGCGUAGACGGCGAGGCAAGUCUGAAGUGAAAUGCGGGGGCUCAACCCCUGAACUGCUUUGGAAACUGUUUUGCUAGAGUGCAGGAGAGGUAAGUGGAAUUCCUAGUGUAGCGGUGAAAUGCGUAGAUAUUAGGAGGAACACCGGCGGCGAAGGCGGCUUACUGGACUGUAACUGACGUUGAGGCUCGAAAGCGUGGGGAGCAAACAGGAUUAGAUACCCUGGUA
rnacentral:rRNA from 1 species